rnacentral:tRNA from 1 species
GGAGGUUUAGCUCAGCGGCAUAAGCACCUGCCUUGCAAGCAGGUGGUCGUGAGUUCAAUCCCCG